GGCCACGUAGAAAAGUGGUAAUUCGUCGGUCUGCAAAACCGAUAUGCGCGGGUUCGAUUCCCGCCGUGGCCU
rnacentral:tRNA from 1 species